rnacentral:rRNA from 1 species
AGCCUGAUCAGCCAUGCCGCGUGAGUGAAGAAGGCCUUCGGGUUGUAAAGCUCUUUCGGCCGGGAAGAAAUCGGCGACUCUAACAUAGUCUCUGGAUGACGGUACCGGACUACCAAGCACCGGCUAACUACGUGCCAGCAGCCGCGGUAAUACGUAGGGUGCGAGCGUUAAUCGGAAUUACUGGGCGUAAAGCGUGCGCAGGUGGUUUUGUAAGACGUAUGUGAAAUCCCCGGGCUUAACCUGGGAACUGCGUUUGUGACUGCAAGGCUAGAGUACGGCAGAGGGGGGUGGAAUUCCACGUGUAGCAGUGAAAUGCGUAGAGAUGUGGAGGAACACCGAUGGCGAAGGCUGCCCCCUGGGCCUGUACUGACGCUCAUGCCCGAAAGCGUGGGGAGCAAACAGGAUUAUAUACCCUGGUAGUCCACGCCCUAAACGAUGUCUACUAGUCGUUCGGAGCGCCGAUGCUCUGAGUGACGCAACUAACGCGUGAAGUCAACCGCCUGGGGAGUACGGUCGCAAGGUUAAAACUCAAAG